GGCAACGGAAUUUCCUUUUUCAUUUUUUCAUCUUUGUAAAAAUCGCUGGUAUCCGAUUAAAUCCAAAUUCUAUUCAUUUUUUCACCAAUUAUUUAUGGGUUCAUCCCGUUCUUGUCAGCCCACAGGCCCCACACCAUAUCCACUGAUGUUCGCCUCACCCCAUUUUUUGGUGGCAAAGAAUCUUAUAGCAGCUCAAAUUUAUCUGCUUCAGCACCAGCUUCUGCAGUGUCAAAAAAUGGAAGAUGGUUGUCUGCAAUCCCAGUUUGGCAAUACCUUUUUGUUGAAGAAUGAAUGGAGGAUAUCUCCAAAAUUUGAUCUUGUAAAAUGCAAUAGACAGCAAGGUCUCAGUUUGGUUGAUUUUUUGAAGGUACCAUUUGUUCCCCCCCAUUCUUUGAGUACGCUAAUUUCUUGAAGCUCUAAGAUUAAAUAGUGGCCAGCUAUGUUCACACCAAAUUUUUGCAUGAGUGCACAAUAUUAAUUGCCAUAUUUUAAUUGCAUGAAUAUUACAUUCUUAUUUUUAACCUUCCAUUAAUUAGCACAACUUAUUCUGGAUGACCUUUUUUGUCCAAAUAUUAUGUUAAGAGAAGGUAAAAGACUUAGUUGCCUCUCAUAUUUUUAUAUAAGAAAUUAAAACAAAUAUGUAAGUGCGUCUAAAUAACUGUUCCUUAUAUUGAAGCAUGCUAACAUUACAAAAACUAUUUGUCAGCAUGAGUAAUAUUCCGAGGUUAAAUGUAGUUUUUAAGUCUGUAAACAUGGGUCUGAAUGACUCUGUAGACACCAAAUUUAAGGUUUCUGAAUUGUAGAUUUUUCUCCUCUGUUCUAUUUUGAAGAAUUUCAAUCUUUCAAAUCCACUUCGAGUACACUUAUCUUCUGCUACAGUUGGUUUCUUUUGUGCUUCAUAUGCCAAUAUUUAGGCUCCUGACUCAAGUUGACUUAUAUGGCUGAUUAGAUUUUGAGAUUUAUGUCUAGUAUAGUCUCGAUAAAAUAUUGAUUCUUAAUAGUUGAUAGUGCUAGAGAUGCCUGGAGAGUGUAUUUCAGAAAUUAUGGAUGUAGUUCGUUUCUCGACUUGCAGCACGGUUUCAGUAAUUUGGCAGUUCAACUGAAGUUUGAAAGUCCAUCAAGUCACUUGAUUCAGUUCCGAUCACUGGUUAUCAGAUGCAGUGCUGGCCCUAGCCCAAGGCAAGUGAGGCCACUGCCUUGGUCCUCAUAUUGUAGGGGACCUCAUCUCUUUAAAAAAAAAAAAUAAUAAAUAAAUAAAUAAUUGGCACAUAAAAAGCAAAGAAGAGGUUCAAGGCAAUACUUGCCCAGUUUGUAGGUAUGAGAUGCCUAUAGAUGAUGUAGAAUACGAGAAGAGGAAGACUGAGAGGAGUGGUGCAGGAAUUACUUCUCGCUUUGCUGACGAUCUUCAGGCGAGGUACAAUUUUGAACUUCUGCCUUGAAAAGGUGUAUGUAUUAGUCUGGAGAAUAUGGCUAUAGUGGGAAUCUUUACCUUUUCAGUUAUCAUGUCAAUUUCCUUUUUGUAUUGUGAAAUGAUGAGAUAACAAAACUUGUAGAUCAAUAUUACAUUUAAGAUUAUGUGAAUUUGUCAUUGUGUAAACUCUAUUUUGCAACUCCAUGUGUAAUGGUUCAGUGAAAAAUUCAGAGAUGAAUGGAAGUUUUACAGUUUUUGGGACAUCCUGAGUUUCUGGUCACUUCACUAUUAUAUUCUUGAUGAAUAAAUCUACAUUUUUUCUCUCCUCUUGAUUUUAUUUGGUUGGGUAAGUAAGAAUCUGUCCAGAAAUAAUUUGUGUAAUGCAGACUUUCUGAUAUCUUCUUGAAUAUUUGUCCAGAAUCUCUCCUUUUUGACUUUAAAUAUUUACAUAUUGUUAGACUUACAAAAUAAAUUUUGUAUUGAGGGGCCCCAUAAUAAUUAAAUGCCUAGGGCCUCUAAAUUCUCAGGGUAGGCCCUGACCAGAUGCAAUCAUCCUCAAAAUUCAGAUUUUCCUCGCCAAAGGCCAAGAGAAGAGGUGCCCCUCCUUCAAAAAGAGGUUUGGUGGUUCAAAGGCUAAUUCCUGUUGCAUACAAGGUAUUUGAUGCAAGAGUAAAAUUGAUUAACAAUCUCAAGAAGCUCUUGAAAGUGAGUCCGCUUCAUGCUUGCUAGUUGGUUAUGAAGUUCAUGUUGAAACUGUUGGGGCAUCCUUUCAAGUCUUGUAGAGAAUCAGGCGCUUCAAUUCGUUAAGUAUUUCAUGAAUGGGGGGACGCAGCUGUUGAAGACCUAUUGGUACCAGUUGAGGCCUGCCACCUGUAUGAGCGUCUGGGGAAACGUAUACGUCACGACUCACGAGGAGAGAUUUUCUAUCCCAAGAAUUCCUGCAGUAGGGGAGCUCUGCAUUCAAGCAGGAGUUGACUUGCCUGAAUAUUCUACAAAAAGAAGACGAAAACCAAUCAUAUGCAUUGGAAAAAAGGAAUUUGCUGAUGCAGAUGAAUGUGAAUUACCAGAUCCUGACCCAGAUACUUCAAAGCCAUCAAUAUUAGCUCAAAUACCUGACACUGAAAUUUUACCCCAUGUAGCAAAGUAGAAACGGUGUUUCUUGUUGAGGAAACUUCAAGCUUGGGAAGAAAUGAGGGGUGGAGCCACCAGGAUGAUGAAGAUGUAUGCAAUUGAAGCCUGUGGAUAUUGUCCUGAAUAGCACGUGAGCCCCAGCGGACACAAAGCGCAGAACUGUGGGGCCCAUAAGCAUCAGCAGCGCUAUGGGUAACAUCAAUGGCAGGCAGCAGUUCUUGGUGACUUGAUUCCACCCGGAUAUGUUUGGCAUGUUCCUGAUAUCAACAAGCCACUGCAAAGGGAGCUCAGGAAGUUCUAUGGACAGGCCCCUGCUGUCGUAGAAAUAUGUGUGCAUGCCUGUGCUGGUGUUCCCAAGCAGUACAAACCAACAAUGAGGUUGGAUGUGGCGAUUCCUACAAAUAUUAGAGAAGUUUUUGGGUUUAAAGGCGUUUCUUCUUCUUCUUCUUCUUCAUCUUUCCCCUUUUGCUGAUUAGGUGUUUUGGGUGUAGUAAUCUCCAUUUUAUUGUAUUCAUCUCAUAAGGUGCCAUAGUCGGUUUGAAUAUGAUUAUACUGUUGUACUUAUCAUCAUGUAUCAAAAAACCAUUUCAAGUGAAAGUGCUGUUUGAUAGAAGAAAUGAUAUGGUUUUCCAGGUAACAAUCCUUGGCAAUGGCAGCUUCUACAUUCUCUUGGUUAA